GGCUCAGAACGAACGCUGGCGGCGUGCCUAACACAUGCAAGUCGAACGAGAAGUACGUAGCAAUACGUAUUGUAAAGUGGCGCACGGGUGAGUAACACGUGGGUAAUCUGCCCUCGAGUUUGGGAUAACCCCGCGAAAGCGGGGCUAAUACCGGAUAAGACCACGGAGACCAAAGUCUCUGAGGUAAAAGGUGGCCUCUAUUUAUAAGCUACCACUUGAGGAUGAGCCCGCGGCCCAUUAGCUAGUUGGCAGGGUAAUGGCCUACCAAGGCAAUGAUGGGUAGCUGGUCUGAGAGGACGAUCAGCCACACUGGAACUGAGACACGGUCCAGACUCCUACGGGAGGCAGCAGUGGGGAAUAUUGCGCAAUGGGCGAAAGCCUGACGCAGCAACGCCGCGUGGGGGAUGAAGGUUCUCGGAUUGUAAACCCCUUUCGAUCGGAACGAAUCCCCUCCUGGUAAAUAAUCAGGAGGAUCGACGGUACCGAGAGAAGAAGCCACGGCUAACUCUGUGCCAGCAGCCGCGGUAAGACAGAGGUGGCGAGCGUUGUUCGGAUUUAUUGGGCGUAAAGCGAACGCAGGUGGUUUGGUAAGUCAGGGGUGAAAGACCACAGCUUAACUGUGGCAUUGCCUUUGAUACUGCCUUUCUUGAGUAGAGUAGGGGGAAGCGGAAUUCCGAGUGUAGAGGUGAAAUUCGUAGAUAUUCGGAGGAACACCGGUGGCGAAGGCGGCUUCCUGGACUCUAACUGACACUCAUGUUCGAAAGCGUGGGGAGCAAACAGGAUUAGAUACCCUGGUAGUCCACGCCCUAAACGAUGGGCACUAGGUGUGGGAGGUAUCGACCCCUUCCGUGCCGCAGCUAACGCAUUAAGUGCCCCGCCUGGGGAGUAC
rnacentral:rRNA from 1 species